CCUACGGGAGGCAGCAGUGAGGAAUAUUGGUCAAUGGACGCAAGUCUGAACCAGCCAUGCCGCGUGCAGGAAGACGGCUCUAUGAGUUGUAAACUGCUUUUGUACGAGGGUAAAUCCCGAUACGUGUAUCGUGUUGAUAGUAUCGUACGAAUAAGGAUCGGCUAACUCCGUGCCAGCAGCCGCGGUAAUACGGAGGGUUCAAGCGUUAUCCGGAUUUAUUGGGUUUAAAGGGUGCGUAGGCGGUUCGAUAAGUUAGAGGUGAAAUCCCGGGGCUCAACUCCGGCACUGCCUCUGAUACUGUCGGGCUAGAGUUUAGUUGCGGUAGGCGGAAUGUAUGGUGUAGCGGUGAAAUGCAUAGAGAUCAUACAGAACACCGAUUGCGAAGGCAGCUUACCAAACUACGACUGACGUUGAGGCACGAAAGCGUGGGGAGCAAACAGGAUUAGAUACCCCUGUAGUC
rnacentral:rRNA from 1 species